CCUACGGGUGGCAGCAGUGGGGAAUAUUGGACAAUGGGGGAAACCCUGAUCCAGCGACGCCGCGUGAGUGAAGAAGUAUUUCGGUACGUAAAGCUCUAUCAGCAGGAAAGAAAAUGACGGUACCUGACUAAGAAGCCCCGGAUAACUACGUGCCAGCAGCCGCGGUAAUACGUCGGGGGCGAGCGUUAUCCGGAUUUACUGGGUGUAAAGGGAGCGUAGACGGGAGGGCAAGGCUGGAGGUAAAUGCCCGGGCCCAACCCCGGAACUGCUCUGGAAACUGUGACGCUGGAGUGCAGGAGAGGUAUGCGGAAUGCGUGGUGUAGCGGUGAAAUGCUUAGAUAUCAGGAGGAACACCGACGGCGAAGGCAGCUUACUGGACUGUAACUGACGUUGAGGCUCGAAGGCGUGGGGAGCAAACAGGAUUAGAUACCCCUGUAGUC
rnacentral:rRNA from 1 species